ACUCCUACGGGAGGCAGCAGUGGGGAAUUUUGGACAAUGGGCGAAAGCCUGAUCCAGCAAUGCCGCGUGUGUGAAGAAGGCCUUCGGGUUGUAAAGCACUUUUGUCCGGAAAGAAAUCCUUGGCUCUAAUACAGUCGGGGGAUGACGGUACCGGAAGAAUAAGCACCGGCUAACUACGUGCCAGCAGCCGCGGUAAUACGUAGGGUGCGAGCGUUAAUCGGAAUUACUGGGCGUAAAGCGUGCGCAGGCGGUUUGCUAAGACCGAUGUGAAAUCCCCGGGCUCAACCUGGGAACUGCAUUGGUGACUGGCAGGCUAGAGUAUGGCAGAGGGGGGUAGAAUUCCACGUGUAGCAGUGAAAUGCGUAGAGAUGUGGAGGAAUACCGAUGGCGAAGGCAGCCCCCUGGGCCAAUACUGACGCUCAUGCACGAAAGCGUGGGGAGCAAACAGGAUUAGAAACCCCGGUAGUCCCAUGAU
rnacentral:rRNA from 1 species